rnacentral:rRNA from 1 species
GACGAACGCUGGCGGCGUGCUUAACACAUGCAAGUCGAACGAAGUGGCGAACGGGUGAGUAACGCGUAAUCAACCUGCUCUUCAGAGGGGGACAACAGUUGGAAACGACUGCUAAUACCGCAUACUGAAGGAGGGGAUUGCGUCGGAUUAGCUAGUUGUGGGGGUAACGGCUCACCAAGGCGAUGAUCAGUAGCCGGGCUGAGAGGAUUAACGGCCACAUUGGGACUGGGACACGGCCCAGACUCCUACGGGGUGCAGCAGUGGGGAAUCUUCCGCAAUGGACGAAAGUCUGAAGGAGCAACGCCGCGGGAGUGAUGACGGCCUUCGGGUUGUAAAGCUCUGUUAAGCGGGACGCGGUACCGGAAUAGAAAGCCACGGCUAACUACGUGCCAGCAGCCGCGGUAAUUC